rnacentral:tRNA from 1 species
CCGACCUUAGCUCAGUUAGUAGAGCGGAGGACUGUAGUUUGAUUAAUCAAAAUUGGAAAUCCUUAAGUCGCUGGUUCGAAUCCGGCAGGUCGGA